GUAUGCACAGUGUGGAACUAGCUUCUCUAAACCUAGCAGUUGUUACUGACAUGGUUACUGAGCUCCAAGCUGUCUGAGUCACAUCAGACAUCCCAAAUGCCAGCUGUGAUCAUAGACUGUGGCCGUGAUACAAAUUUGGGCUGUGAGCCUAAAAAUAAAUCACAACUGAUAAUGA